AACGGCCGUACCAUGCUGAAUAUACCGGUUCUCGUUAGAUCACCGAAGUUAAGCGUCAUUGGGCAACGGUCAGUAAUUACCGGGUGAUCACC